UACGUAGGCAGCGAGCGUUUGUUCGGGAGUUACUGGGCGUAAAGGGUGUGUAGGCGGUUGUUUAAGUUUGGCGUGAAAUCUCCCGGCUCAACUGGGGGGGGUGCGUCGAAUACUGAAUGACUUGGAGUGCGGGAGAGGAAAGUGGAAUUCCUGGUGUAGCGGUGAAAUGCGUAGAUAUCAGGAGGAACACCGGUGGUGUAGACGGCUUUCUGGACCGUAACUGACGCUGAGACACGAAAAGCGUGGGGUAGCAAACAGG
rnacentral:rRNA from 1 species